rnacentral:lncRNA from 1 species
CAGCAGCAUCUUGGGAGCGCUGGGAUGCAGGCUUGAUCCCUGGCCUGGCACAGUGUUUUAAGGAUCUGGAGUUGCUGCAGCUUCAGCCUAGGUCACAACAGUGGCUUAGGUUGCGACUGCGGCUCAGAUCUGAUCCUUGGCCUGGGAAUUCUAUAUGCUAUGUGGUGGCCAAAAAUGAAAAAAAAAUUAAAUAAAAUAAUGACUCUUUUUUUUUUUUUUUUUUUUUUUUUUUUUUUUUUUUUUUUUUACAGAUUUGUUGAAAGCAGCAAGUCCAAAGAUCAAAAAGUUCAUCAAACCCCAGGCAGGGAGUUCCCGUCAUGGCACAGUUUAGGAACCAUGAGGUUGCGGGUUCGGUCCCUGCCCUUGCUCAGUGGGUUAACGAUCCGGCGUUGCCGUGAGCUGUGGUGUAGGUUGCAGAUGCUGCUUGGAUCCCGCGUUGCUGUGGCUCUGGCAUAGGCUGGUGGCUAUGACUCCGAUUCAACCCCUAGCCUGGGAACCUCCAUAUGCCGCAGGAGCGGCCCAAGAAAUAGCCCCCAAAAAAAAAAAAAAAAAAAAAAAAACCCAGGCAGGAUAAACAUAAACAACCAACUUGGGUAUAUCAUAAUGAUACUGACAGCCGAAGAUGAACUGAAGAAUCUUUGGAACAGCCAGAGGAGGUUGGAGAAAAAGACACAUUUCAUUCGGGUGAACAACAAGAGGAACGAAUGCAGGAGUUCCCAUCAUGGCUCAGUGGAAACGAAUCUGACUAGGAUCCAUGAGCACACGGGUUCGAUCCCUGGCCUCGCUCAGUGGGUUAAGGAUCCAGUAUUGUGACUGCUGUGGUGCUGGUUCAAUCCCUGGCCUGGGAACUUCUGAAUGCCGUGGGAGGAAAAGGAUGGUAUUGCAGAAAAUACAGACCUACGGAGGAAUGAAGACUGCCAAACAUGGACAGAUGGCAUUGAAAGCAAAGAAGGAAGCCCCUGCCCCUUCCAAAGCUGAAGCCAAAGCCAAGGCCAAGAAAGCAGUGCUGAACAAUCCACAGCCACACAAAAAACGUUUGGUUGUCACCCACCUUCCCAAGUCCCAGAACACUGCAACUCAGAAGGCAGCCCAAAUAUCCUUGGAAGAGAGCCCCUGGGAGAAGCAGUCUUGACCACUCUGCCAUUAUCAAUUUCCCUCACCACCAAGUCAGCCUCGAAGAAGACGGAAGUCAACAACGUGCCUGUAUGCAUUGUGGAGGUCAAGGCCAACAAGCACCAGGCAGAAGAGGCUGUGAAGAAGCCCCAUGACAUUGCCUGGCUAAAGUCGACGCCUUGCUCAGGCCUAAUGGGGAGAAGAGGCAUAUGUUUGACUGGUUCCCAACUAUGAAGCUUUGGAUGUUGCCAACAAAGUUGGAAUCAUCUAAACUGAGUCCAGCUGGCUAAUUCUAAAUAUAAAAUUUCUCAUGGAGGAAAAAAAGGGAUACUAUGAACAAUUCACUCUGAGGACCCGGAGGAGGGACCGGGCAGCAGGGGAACAGUGACAUUUUACAUUUUGAAUUUCGUCCUGUGUGCACGAAUAGUGUGUUUAACCAAUAACUGACAAACACGUGAGCCCAGGCACACGUUGAAGGGAGGAAUCCGUGGUGGCCUAGCAGCUGGGGACUCAGCAUUGUCCCUGCUGUGGCUCCAGUUACUGCUGUGGCUCAGGUUCGGUUCCUGGCCCAGGAACUUCCCCAUCCCACAGGCGUGGCCAAAAAAAAGAAAAAGA